rnacentral:rRNA from 1 species
GAUGAACGCUGGCGGCGUGCCUAAUACAUGCAAGUCGAGCGAACAGACGAGGAGCUUGCUCCUCUGACGUUAGCGGCGGACGGGGGAGUAAAACGUGGAUAACCUACCUAUAAGACUGGGAUAACUUCGGGAAACCGGAGCUAAUACAGGAUAAUAUAUUGAACCGCAUGGUUCAAUAGUGAAAGACGGUUUUGCUGUCACUUAUAGAGGGAUCCUCGGCGCAUUAGCUAGUUGGUAAGGUAACGGCUUACCAAGGCAACGAUGCGUAGCCGACCUGAGAGGGUGAUCGGCCACACUGGGACUGAGACACGGUCCAGACUCCUACGGGAGGCAGCAGUAGGGAAUCUUCCGCAAUGGGCGAAAGCCUGACGGAGCCACGCCGCGUGAGUGAAGAAGGUCUUCGGAUCGUAAAACUCUGUUAUUAGGGAAGAAAAAAUGUGUAAGUACCUAUGCACGUCUUGACGGUACCUAAUCAGAAAGCCACGGCUAACUACGUG